CACACCAGAUCGUCAACCGCCCUCAUCCCCUCUCUCCUCACGCCAAUCCAAACCCUAGCCAUCGCCGCCAUCGCCGAGUACCAGGCCUCCGGGGAACGCCUCAUCGGCCUGCAUGUCGAUCCACACCGCCCGCCCUGCUCCGUGCGUCACCCUCCCCACGGAGGCGAAGGCGCCCUGCGCCGGAGAUCGCGGGAUGGUUCCACGCGGCUCCUAGGCUACCAGCUGGCCAUACGGAUCUUUCCAAGAUCGCUUCCUCACUCCUCUUCCCUGAAGGCGACAACGACUGUGGAGGAGGCAGCGGGGGUCAGCGAAGAGGUGGUCGCGUUCACGCGGGGCGCAGCCUCACGGCCCGAGUUAUGUCUCAUCUUCCCCCCUCCCCGACGACGCGGACUCCCAUGGUUUGUGGCUUCGUGAUUCAUCAUAUUGGAACCCCUCGCCGCCUGCCCAGCCAGCGCCAGCGCCCCCACCCAGCGACCCCGCCGUCGCCGGUGACCAGCCCCAACCCCAUCACAAGGCCGGCGACAAGGAAGCGGAUGUUGCCACCGCCGAAACUGAUGGGUACAAGGCGGGGUCGUCCUCAUCGCACCUGUCUCGACUGCUCCGGGAGUUAUCUCCUAUAUUGCAGUUAUCCAGAACCGCGUCGCCCCUCCAUUCAUCCUUGACAACGCUGCCUGUGUUGCUUUACGUGUUCAGGGCUUCAGCAAUCCAGGUGCCACCAGUGUGGGCGCGAUCCAUCACGAGUCGAUGCUGGCGAGCCAGCCAUAGCGCGACAUCUGAUGCUUCUGCUUCCUUACAUGAACAUGCAUCAGUAAGUCAGCCAUCUAGCCCUACUUACUGUAACCAGCAUGCAUGAUCCACCUCUGUAAUUUUUAUUUCCUAAAUAAGUGUUUUUAUGCUAAU